rnacentral:lncRNA from 1 species
AACCUUCACAAGACAGCCUCAAACGAACCAUCAAGUCAACUUAUCAUAUAUCACAUUUACAGCUAACAGCAGCAAUACAUCAUACAUCACAGAGAACGGUUCACAGAAAUCGACAAACUAAACUAGAGGCACAUCAUAAGCUCACAAGCAUGGCUGCCGCAGCAGUUUGUUUUGCCAGUAAAGACGGCGACUUUCUUCCUCAACGAGACAGCAGCUCAGCUCACAUCCUCUACCUCCUCACAGGAGGCGCGCCACCUCGUCUCCUUCAACAGGGGGAUCACCACCACGUCCACCAGCAGCCUGCAUGAAUGUUUUGGCAAGUCCAAGUGUUAGUGACUAUACAUAUGGCUGUUGACUAAUGUUUGUUUCGAAACAAAAAAAACAUCCAAGAACCAAGUAGUGGACAACUAAGAGAUCCUUUUCUUCCAAGGGAAAUUAACCAGCCAAACGAUACAACAUAGUUAUUUGUUCAUUUUCAUUUUAUUACUGCAUAAAUAUAGAUGAUAGCUAGAUGAUGGUCGCAAUUUAGAAUCUGUCUCGUCGGCACAUGGCAGUAGUACUCAAGAGUAUUUUCGCUAGUAGAAUCAUAGUGAUUCAAAUUUUGUUAGCACACUCUUCUGUAGCAUCCCCUAAUAUUUCUAUAUAUAGCACCCCAUGAUCACAUAUGCAUGUAUGUAUGAAGCAGAACAUGAAAAGAGUAACAUCUAAUUAACUUGAUUGCCUUGCAGAUGACACACAAGAUGAAGAGCACUUGGACAGAAGCUACUAUACUUGUGGCUGUAAUUAACCUAAUCUAAUCUAAUGGGAACAACAUCACUAUUCACAAGCAAGCACCCAUACUCUUGAAUUCAGUAUACAGUUGCCAACUGAAAUAAGUUCAGUUGAAAGCAGAGCAGAGAACAAGAAGGAUCAGCAAAGAGCUCACCAUGGCUGUCAUGUGGCUGAUGUGGAAGAGGCAGC